rnacentral:tRNA from 3 species
CGGGAUGUAGCGCAGCCUGGUAGCGUACUAGCAUGGGGUGCUAGGGGUCGCUGGUUCGAAUCCAGUCAUCCCGACUA